rnacentral:rRNA from 1 species
CCUACGGGUGGCAGCAGUGAGGAAUAUUGGUCAAUGGUCGGGAGACUGAACCAGCCAAGCCGCGUGAGGGAUGAAGGUACAGAGUAUCGUAAACCUCUUUUGUCAGGGAACAAAGGCGGGGACGUGUCCCCGGAUGAGUGUACCUGAAGAAAAAGCAUCGGCUAACUCCGUGCCAGCAGCCGCGGUAAUACGGAGGAUGCGAGCGUUCUCCGGAUUUAUUGGGUUUAAAGGGUGCGCAGGCGGUCUGUUAAGUAAGCGGUAAAAGCCCGGGGCUCAACCCCGGCCCGCCGUUGAAACUGGCAGUCUCGAGUUGGAGAGAAGUAUGCGGAAUGCGCGGUGUAGCGGUGAAAUGCAGAGAUAUCGCGCAGAACUCCGAUUGCGAAGGCAGCAUGCCGGCUCCACACUGACGCUGAGGCACGAAAGCGUGGGUAUCGAACAGGAUUAGAUACCCUAGUAGUC